AGCGAACGCUGGCGGCAGGCUUAACACAUGCAAGUCGAGCGGGCACUUUCGGGUGUCAGCGGCGGACGGGUGCGUAACGCGGGGGAACGUGCCCUCUGGUUCGGAAUAACUCAGGGAAACUUGAGCUAAUACCGGAUACGCCCUUUUGGGGAAAGGCUUGCUGCCGGAGGAUCGGCCCGCGUCUGAUUAGCUAGUUGGUGAGGUAACGGCUCACCAAGGCGACGAUCAGUAGCUGGUCUGAGAGGAUGGUCCGCCACACUGGGACUGAGACACGGCCCAGACUCCUACGGGAUGCAGCAGUGGGUAAUAUUGGACCAUGGGCGCAAGCCUGAUCCAGCCAUGCCGCGUGAGUGAUGAAGGCCUUAGGGUUGUAAAGCGCUUUUAUCCGGGACGAUAAUGACGGUACCGGAGGAAUAAGCCCCGGCUAACUUCGUG
rnacentral:rRNA from 1 species